AGCUGAUCUGUCCCUGAACUCUAAAGAGACUCAAACUUCCUCCUUCAGCUCAGCUCUCCAACAUUAACUCUGCUCAACAUGCUGUCUCUGCUCACAUCUGGAUUCUCUCUGCUGGUUCUGAUCACUGGAUCAGCUGUAAACUGUCAACAACUCACUGCAGGGAAGACUGAGGAGUUCAGUUCAGAGGGCAGCUCUGCUACUGUGUCCUACAAUUACUCUAAAGCUGCUGUUUAUGAUGAUUAUUUCUUCUGGUAUCGACAAUAUCCUGGAAAACCUCCAGAGUUCCUGAUCUCACACACGGGAACAGGAACACAAACAUCUCAGCAGCUUCUUGGUUUCUCCUUCAGCGUGAGUGAUGAUAAAACCCGGAUGGAUCUGCUGAUCUCCUCUGCUGCAGUGACAGACUCUGCUGUGUACUACUGCGCUGUGCAGCCCACAGUGACAGGAAACACCAGAACCCUGGACAAAAACCUGCAGUACUCCACAGCAGCCACUAGAGGGCCUCACUCCCUGUUAAACCACUAAAACCUGCAGUACUCCACAGCAG